ACCAAACUAAACUAAGCCUUUGGCUCUGUUUUGUUGUUGUUGUUGCCUCUAUGUUUUUGAUGCAGUGUUUGGCUCUGUUUUUUUGUUGCCUUUCUGUUUCAGAUGCAGUGUCAUUGACCUUUGCUUUGUAACUAAUUAGAGAAACAUAAAAACAUAAUUUAUAAGUCAGUAUUGGUACACAUUAUGCAGAACUAAAUGACAAAUUUUUGAGUUUUAAAAAAAGAAACUAAAAGACAAAUAAAAGCUCAACAAUGAACAGAUCAGAACAAAUAAUCUAAAAUUAUGAAGGCAUCAAAGGUGCAGAAAAAUGCAGAUGAUGAGCAAAGCAAUCAAAACAUCAAACAAGAAAUUGAUGGAGAAGGACAAAGGCAGGCAAGAAAGCAAUUAAACAGAUCAAAAACUCUAUAAAAACACCUUAUCAAUUUCAAAAAGGGAAAUGGGAGUUUAACUAAAAACACACACACACACAGAAAGAAGGAGGAGGGGGAAAUCGAACACGAACAGAAAAAUACCAAAAGAGAAAAAGAAGAAAACAGAGUAGUAGCAAAAGCAAACAAGCAAGAAGAGGAAAAGGUAUGUUUUCUUUUUAUAUUAUAAUAGCUUUAGUGUUAUAUAAAUGUAAGGUUAGUAGUAAAAAGAUAAGGCUAAAAAACUCAAACCUCUGAUGGUACCGUCGCCGGAAAACUAACCACCUCUACAUCAUCGUCGUCGUCUUUUUCGCCGGUAAACAUCGAUUCGCGUCUGUUAUGUUGUCUCGUUCGCUAAUAUGGCACUUUCAUUAUGUUUGUUUUGUUUGCUUAAAUUUUGAUUGUUGUUGGAUUUAUGGUUGAAAGCGAUACUUUUUUUCUUCCUUUGUUUAAAAAUUAAAAGGCUGUUAAAACUGAAGCAUGCUUGCAUCCUUAUCUCAACAUAAGUAUAGGUAUCACAAUGGCAAGGCUAGGCAGCUUAGGUUCACU
rnacentral:lncRNA from 1 species